rnacentral:rRNA from 1 species
GAAUGGCUCAUUAAAUCAGUUAUCGUUUAUUUGAUAGUACCUUACUACUUGGAUAACCGUGGUAAUUCUAGAGCUAAUACAUGCUAAAAACCCCGACUUCGGGAGGGGUGUAUUUAUUAGAUAAAAAACCAAUGCCCUUCGGGGCUCCUUGGUGAUUCAUGAUAACUUAACGGAUCGCAUGGCCUUGCGCCGGCGACGGUUCAUUUCAAAUUUYUKUCCCUAUCAACUUUCGAUGGUAAGGUAUUGGCUUACCAUGGUUUUCAACGGGUAACGGGGAAUUAGGGUUCGAUUCCGGAGAGGGAGCCUGAGAAACGGCUACCACAUCCAAGGAAGGCAGCAGGCGCGCAAAUUACCCAAUCCCGACACGGGGAGGUAGUGACAAUAAAUACUGAUACAGGGCUCUUUUGGGUCUUGUAAUCGGAAUGAGUACAAUUUAAACCCCUUAACGAGGAACAAUUGGAGGGCAAGUCUGGUGCCAGCAGCCGCGGUAAUUCCAGCUCCAAUAGCGUAUAUUAAAGUUGUUGCAGUUAAAAAGCUCGUAGUUGAACCUUGGGCCUGGCUGGCCGGUCCGCCUCACCGCGUGUACUGGUCCGGCCGGGCCUUUCCUUCUGGUGAGCCUCAUGCCCUUCACUGGGUGUGUUGGGGAACCAGGACUUUUACUGUGAACAAAUUAGAGUGUUCAAAGCAGGCCUUUGCUCGAAUACAUUAGCAUGGAAUAAUAGAAUAGGACGUGCGGUCCUAUUUUGUUGGUUUCUAGGACCGCCGUAAUGAUUAAUAGGGAUAGUCGGGGGCAUCAGUAUUCAAUUGUCAGAGGUGAAAUUCUUGGAUUUAUUGAAGACUAACUACUGCGAAAGCAUUUGCCAAGGAUGUUUUCAUUAAUCAGUGAACGAAAGUUAGGGGAUCGAAGACGAUCAGAUACCGUCGUAGUCUUAACCGUAAACUAUGCCGACUAGGGAUCGGGCGAUGUUUCUAUCUGACUCGCUCGGCACCUUACGAGAAAUC